UCCUACGGGAGGCAGCGAGUAGGGAAUUUUCGGCAAUGGGGGAAACCCUGACCGAGCAACGCCGCGUGAGCGAAGAAGGCCUUCGGGUCGUAAAGCUCUGUUGUAAAGGAAGAACGGCGCAUACAGGAAAUGGUAUGCGAGUGACGGUACUUUACCAGAAAGCCACGGCUAACUACGUGC
rnacentral:rRNA from 1 species